rnacentral:rRNA from 1 species
GAUGAACGCUGGCGGCGUGCUUAACACAUGCAAGUCGAACGGAAAGGCCCAAGCUUGCUUGGUUACUCGAGUGGCGAACGGGUGAGUAACACGUGUGUUAUCUGCCCCUCACUUCGGUAUAAGCCUGGGAAACUGGUUCUAAUACCUGCUUGGACAGUUGUUUGGAUGCCAUUUUGUAAAGUUUUUUCGGUUUGGGUUGAGGUCGCGUCCUUUCAGCUUUUUGGUGGGGUAAUGGGCUACCAAGGCGUCGACGGGUAGCCGGCCUGUGGGGGUGUACGGCCAAAUUGGGACUGAGAUACGGCCCAGACUCCUACGGGAGGCAGAAGGGGGGAAUAGUGCACAAUGGGAGCAAGCCUGAUGCAGCGAAGACGAGUGGGGGAUGACGGCGUUCGGGUUGUAAACUACUUGCGCUAGGGACGAAGCGUUAUGUGACGGUACCUAGAGAAGAAGCACCGGCUAACUACGUG